AUACGGAGGAUGCAAGCGUUAUCCGGAUUUAUUGGGCUUAAAGGGUGCGUAGGCGGUUUGCUAAGCGGGAGGUGAAAUGCCGGCGCUCAACGUCGGAAGUGCCUCCCGAACUGGUGGACUGGAAUGACUCUGCCGUGGGCGGAAUGUGUAGUGGAGCGGGGAAAUGCUUAGAGAUUACACAGAACACCGAUUGCGAAGGCAUCUCACGAAGGGUUGAUUGACGCUGAGGCACGAAAGCGUGGGGAUCAAACAGGAUUAGAUACCCUGGUAGUCCACGCAGUAAACGAUGAUGGCUAACCGCUGGUUUAUUCGGAUCAGUGGCCAAGCGAAAGCGAUAAGCCAUCCACCUGGGGAGUACGACCGCAAGGUUGAAACUCAAAUGAAUUGGCGGGG
rnacentral:rRNA from 1 species